CAGUAGCCGCGGGAAUACGAAGGGGGCUAGCGUUGUUCGGAAUUACUGGGCGUAAAGGGCGCGUAGGCGGCCAUUCAAGUUAGACGUGAAAGCCCUGGGCUCAACCUAGGAAUUGCAUUUGAUACUGUUUGGCUUGAGUUCGGGAGAGGUGAGUGGAAUUCCCAGUGUAGAGGUGAAAUUCGUAGAUAUUGGGAAGAACACCAGUGGCGAAGGCGGCUCACUGGACCGACACUGACGCUGAGGCGCGAAAGCGUGGGGAGCAAACAGGAUUAGAUACCCCCGUAGUCCCUGUCUCUUAUAC
rnacentral:rRNA from 1 species